CCAAUUCAUAGUUUCCGCUACCGGCUUAGGUACUCUUUUGGGAAACAUAUCAAUAUACUCAGCAGACGGUCGGUCGGCUGCCCGAACAGCUACCAGCAACCUGUACGACAAUAAAAGAACAACGCCCAAAGGUACAACUAUCCAUAUUUGCAUGUAUACAUAUGUAUGUUCACACGGAUGGGCGUAUUAUCAAUAUUGAUAUGUAUGUGUAUGUAUGUAAAUACAGUAUAAUUUCGAUAAUAGGAUUCGAAAUAUACAUUUCAGAUACGUUUUUUCCUAUAUUUUCUAUUUAUAAAAUGCACUACGUGGUGAAAUAUUUGUGAAAACAGGUUACAAUUUUCGUAAGAGAUGAAAGCAACACUUAUUUUUCAUAAUGAUAUUUUUCUAAUCUUAAGGAAAAUUAAUUAUUCAGAUAAUUAUCAAGAUCAAACUGUAUCUUAUAAUCGUACAAUUUAACACGGGCCCACGUUGAUUACACUUUUGGAAUUCUUUCAAUCCAUUAUAAUUAAAAAAAUUUACAUACCAAAGUAGAGCAGCCUUUCAAAUGACUAUUGUUGACUCCUACUAAUUGUAAAGUAGAACGUUUAAACUAGUGAUGCUAGCUGGAGAUGACAUAAAAUAUAAUACCAACAAGCGAGAAUUACAUGCACGUCCUUAUAUUUAGCUCAAUCAGCUAGAAGAAUAAAACUUCUGUAACAAAGGUUUUCAACGAAAUCAAGAGUAGCAAAUAGCAUUAAAAAGUUAUAAGCAAAACAAAAAUACACAACACUGACAGGUUGAUGGCAAAUAACGUGAGGUGAGGUGAGGAAGGACGAUACAGGUUUCAAUGAUAUUAACAAGUAGAUGCAUUAAGUAUUCGGGGUUACAACUUCACCGUAUGCUUGUAACAUUGCCGUUAACUGGUACGCGCAUAAGGCAGGUGGAUUAAGGCUGGAUGAGAGAUGAGCAUUACAAGAGAUAGAUGCACAAAUGGAGGAGGCUGAGCAGCCACUUGUUAAAUGGACGGAUGGCUUUGCACUUGCUGUCUUCAUUUUUGCUUUCAGUUAUAUUGCCUGGGAAUUCCUAAGGGAAUGCCUUACAAUUUGUAUGCACAUUUACUACACGUAGCUUUGAAUCAGCAGCGGAGGAAAUGAGAAAUAAGUAGUAUAUCUACAUAUGUAUAUAUGUGCAUAUAUACCUAUGUAUGUAUGUGUUUGUAUAAAUCGAAAAGUGAUGUUUUUUGAAUACCUUUGAUAUUGCAUUAAGCCUCGGACCCCUUCUUUGUUUUUCAUGUUCUAUACAGUAAUGGAAAUCCGCAUAUAAUCUCUGAAUUGAUAACGGGGGCGGGAUAAACUAGUUAUUGUCAUUAAUACGAUCAAUUUGCUGUUCACUUUUGUGUAAGUAAACAACAACCUUAUUGAAUAAAUUAAAAGUGGUAACAUUUAGUUCGUAUGGAAUAGAUACGUAGCAGAUGCUUGUAAAAACUUAACGGAUUAAAAUCAUGUUUAUAUGAAACAUAUGCAUAUAAUGUUCACAUAGAAGUGUUUUUUUGUAAAUAUGUGCAUAUGUACAUACAAAUGAAAUACAAUAAUACAAGUAUGUUUAUCUUUGGCUUUACAAUAUUAUAAGCACCUUUAUAUUCAUGUUUUAAGCAUUUAGUUAUUUUCAAGUAAAUAUGUAUGUAGAGGUGAUAAAAAAAAUAGGUCAUCAUAGUUGAUGCAUUUUUAUUAAAAAUUUUAUUAUUGUAUAAUUAUAAUACAUUUUUGGUGGCGGACACUUCACUUUUAUUUUAUUUUUAAAUAUAUGUUACAAAGUAGGCGAAGUUAAAAAAUUAUUUUCAUUUAAAGAAUUUUUUAUUUCAUGGUUUAAAGUCGUGCGUGACGUACAAUUUUUAAGUAGUCUUUAAAGUUCUCAUAUCAUUAUCCCCGUUAACUAAUUUGCAGAGUAUUACUGUUUUAAAUAAAGAAAUUAUAUGAAAAAUAUACUUAGUCCUGCUAUUAGUUCUGUUACAAGUUGAGACCGUUAUAAAAGUGAAACUGUAAUACAUUUUUUCAAUAAAUUUAUUAAAUAAAUUAUAUAUAUUAAAAGAGCGAUGCACAAAAUUUUAUUCAUCCUUUACUUUCACAUAAGGGGCGGUUUCUGAGUUGCGUGCGCAGCAACAGAUUAAAUGCUCUCCACGGGGUUCACCCUUGGAAUAACAUUCUUUGGUAGUUUUGACCUAGAUUUUGUACUUUUGCUUAUUAAAAUCUUCUUGAACAGUAAAAAAAUGUUCAUUCGUAAAAAGGAUACUUUCAUGGCAGUUGAUCGCGUGCUACUGAAGAAGCCGCUUGCAUCUGGUUAGCCUAAUUUCCUUCAAAGUCGUUGUCAGAAGAAACCAGUUGAGCGACGGUAGACUUUCAUGAAAAGAUCAUCUCGCAUAAGUGUUGACAUAUUUUUCUUCUUUCUAAGAAUCCAGAAUAAAGGAGACCCCACAAUCUGCGCCAACUACCGUGGGAUUAGCCCCCUCAACAUCGCAUAUAAGGUUCUAUUGAGCGUAUUGUGUGAAAGAUUAACGCCCACCGUCAACAAACUGAUUGGACCUUAUCAGUGUGGCUUUAGACCUGGCAAAUCAACAACCGACCAGAUAUUCACCAUGCGCCAAAUCUUGGAAAAGACCCGUGAAAGGAGAAUCGACACACACCACCUCUUCGUCGAUUUCAAAGCUGCUUUAGGCAGCACGAAAAGGAGCUGCCUUUAUGCCGCGAUGUCUGAAUUUGGUAUCCCCGCAAAACUAAUACGACUGUGUAAGCGGACGUUGAGCAACACGAAAAGCUCCGUCAGAAUCGGGAAGGACCUCUCCGAGCCGUUCGAUACCAAACGACGUUUCAGACAAGGCGUUUCCCUAUCGUGCGGCUUUUUCAACCUGCUUCUGGAGAAAAUAGUUCGAGCUGCAGAACUCAACAGAGACGGUACCAUCUUCUAUAAGAGUGUACAACUGCUGGCGUAUGCCGAUGAUAUUGAUAUCAUCGGCAUCAAACCCCCGCGCCGUUAGUUCUGCUUUCUCCAGACUGGACAAGGAAGCAAAAAAAAUGGGUCUGGCAGUGAACGAGGGCAAGACGAAAUAUCUCCUGUCAUCAAACAAACAGUCGUCGCACUCGCGACUUGGCUCUCACGUCACUGUUGACAGUCAUAACUUUGAAGUUGUAGAUAAUUUCGUCAAUCUUGGAACCAGCGUAAGCAACACCAACAAUGUCAGCCUAGAAAUCCAACGCAGGAUAACUCUUGCCAACAGGUGCUACUUCGGACUAAAUAGGCAAUCGACAAACAAAAACCAAACUCUAUAAGUCACUCAUAAUUCCCGUCCUGCUAUAUGGUGCAGAGGCUUGGACGAUGUCAACAACGGAUGAGUGGGCGUUGCGAGUUUUCGAGAGAAAAGUUCGGCGAAAGAUUUAUGGUCCUUUGCGCGUUGGCCACGGCGAAUAUCGCAUUCGAUGGAACGAUGAGUUGUAUGAGAUAUACGACGACAUUGACAUAGUUCAGCGAAUUAAAAGACAGCGGCUACGCUGGCUAGGUCAUGUUGUCGGGGUGGACAAAAAUACUCCAGCUCUGAAAGCAUUCGACGCAGUACCCGCCGCGGGAAGCAGAGGAAGAGGAAGACCACCACUUCGUUGGAAGGAUCAAGUGGAGAAGGACCCGGCUACGCUUGGAAUAUCCAAUUGGCGCCACGUAGCGAAGAGAAGAAACGACUGGCGCGCUGUUGUUAACUCGGCUAUAAUCGCGUAAGCGGUGUCUACGCCAAUUAAGAAGAAGAAGAAGAGGAUAUCUGAGAAGUGUUAGCGAACGGUUUUUAUAACUUAAUUGGUUCAAACUAAGCGAAGUUGAUCACUUACCUUUCUGGCUUCAACUGUAGCCGUUUGGGAAAUAUGGUCAAUAAUGCGGUGAUCAAACAUUCUCAAGUUAUUAAGUUUUUAAGAAGGGAUACAGGGAUUGCUGUCACUACCUCAUGCUUCGGCUUGUGUUGAGCAGAUUUACUCAAAACAAAAUGUAAAAACAAAUUAGCUAUCAAGACAUGUGCCGCUUCGAUUCAAUUCGAAUUUAUUAUUUAUCUUAAUUAAUAGUUUGAAGUUUUUUUAUUGGAAAUUUAUUCGAACUGGAUUCAUUUCGGCACUCUCAACUAUGUUUUCGUACAUUUUCUCAAUUGAAAAUUAGCAAAUACCCACCACGCCCAAUUUUACAAUAUUUUUUACCCACAGCUGCUCCUUGCUACUCGCCUUUGUCAAAAUACAGUUUUAUAUUUUAAUUUAGUGCUUACUUUUAUAAGUUCAUCUACAAACUCGUAAUUAAUUUUUGCCAAGGAACGCGAACAUCAAGUAUCAUCAGAAUAUCACAAUUUUUAUUCAAUAUAUCUGUUUCGUUUAGCUGAUACGUACAACCGUUGGGUGAACAAAACUAUUAUAUUCUGCAGCAAAAUAUUGAGUAUAAUAAUGGCACUUUUCCUGCGAAUUUUUCCUCGCUGUAUGCAUUUUAACUUUGUAAUAGAAUUUAUGGCCAGACUGAGUAUAAGCAUUUUCAUACUCUGCCAUAAUGAUGCAGAGAGUAAUAGUAUUGAUUAUCUGUCAGUUGUGUUAAAAGUUAUACCCUGUGUUCGUCCGUUUU